GUGAGGAAUAUUGGUCAAUGGGCGCAAGCCUGAACCAGCGACGCCGCGUGGGCGAUGAAGGUCUUCGGAUCGUAAAGCCCUUUUCUGCGUGACGAGGAAGGACGGUAGCGCAGGAAUAAGCGUCGGCUAACUACGUGCCAGCAGCCGCGGUAAAACGUAGGACGCAAGCGUUAUCCGGAGUUACUGGGCGUAAAGGGCGUGUAGGCGGCUUUUCAAGUUCGUCGUGAAAGACCCCGGCUAAACCGGGGGAGGUCGAGGGAGACUGAGAAGCUGGAGGGCGGCAGAGGGACAGGGAAUUCCGGGUGUAGUGGUGAAAUGCGUAGAGAUCCGGAGGAACACCAGUGGCGAAGGCGCUGUCCUGGGCCGCAACUGACGCUGAGACGCGAAAGCAUGGGGAGCGAACGGGAUUAGAAACCCCGGUAGUCC
rnacentral:rRNA from 1 species